CUUUAUUCAGUAGGAAAAUUAUAAUCUCUCUACAAAAAAGAGUACAAAAUAGGAGGGGAUUGGAAAUCCAAUCACCAAUGCCAGAAAGAGAGCUAUCAUGUUUGGCUAGCAGCGAUAUCCAGCUCCACGGCAUCGACUAAGGGUAUAGCUUCUCCUUCCAGUGCAGAAGAGGCACAUCUGCCGUAGGCCUUACCACCAACAGUCUUACCACAACAAUUCAUGCAGACAAUACUAAUACCAGCUCUAGAUGAACUAAUAACAAUAUAAAAAGUACUAUUCAAAACCAUGUUCCCCACCAACAAAUCUACAGUAAUCACCAAUUUAUUGAAUUAGAAGCAAAUCAGAAGAGCGACAAUCUAUUUCCUAAUUCAUAAUCAAAUGCUCUGAUUAAAGCAACUUGAUGUCUCAUCACCAAAAAAAAAAAAAAAAAAAACUAAAGCUUGAUGCUUUUUCACUUUUGUUGCUUGGCUUCAACCUCUUUAGUUUUAGGUUCUUGAAAAUCUCAGGUGGGUAGUUCUUGAUUUCUUGAUUUUACUUCUGUUCAUGUGAUUUGGUUUUGAUCAAGAUUUUACUUGGUCAACUGAUUGCUUGCUUGAAGAGUAUAAAAAUGAUAACAAAUGGAGCAAAAGAUUGAAGAAAGGGAAACGCAAUAGCAAAGGCGGGAUAGGAGUGGCGACAAUGGAGGAAAAGGUAGAUAAAAUAAGAGCUUUUGCAAAUUAAGAAAGUGGGAAUCUUGAAGAAGAAAAAGAAGUAGCAACAAUAGAGGAAAUGGAGGUGGCGGUGGCAGCAGUGGAGGAAAAGGAAAAUUAAGGCUUUUGCAAAUGGAAAAAGUGGAAAAGCUUGAACAAUAAGAAUUGGCAGCAGUAGAGGAGAUGGUGGUGGCUGGUAGCGGCAAUGGAGGGAAAGGGAGAAGUAAAAGAUAUUGUCUUUUAUUAUGAGAGAU
rnacentral:lncRNA from 1 species